UUCCUUGAAUCUUCAAACAAAGAAUCCAUUCCGACCAAGGAGUAGACUCACCCCUCGACUUAUCAUGAACUACAAGCCAACUUGCAACACUUGUCAAUCCAAGUGUGAAAUGAUCAAGUGUGUGAGAGUGUGGUGAGGUUGUUUCGAAUUAACUUGUGUUUUAAUUUGUAGACUUGUUCUUUUCUUUUCUUUUUUAGGUGCAAUUACGAUGGAACCCACAGCUGCAAGUGCUAUUUUGGCUAAACUUGAAGCCAUUACCCGUCAAUGGGAAGUGAUAAAUGAAACGUUUGAUCAUAUGGGAGUUCCAACAGAGAAAGUGGGCUACCUGGACACACGUCAAGAUGAAGACCGUAGCUCAUGUGAGCUACGAGGAGUUGUUCGUUCAAUUUGCAGAACAAUUGGAAGAGCAUAAAUUUUCGGAAAAAUGAAAUCUCUGUUUCACAGUUAGGAGUUGUUCAAUCUUGUCUUCGUUGUCUUAAAUCCAUCAAUUCUUGGAAUCGCAGGGAAGAGCAUGAACUGUCAGAAACUAUGCAAUCAAAAACUGAAUCGAUAUGGAACAUAAGGCUCCAAUGGAACCCAAAGGAUUUUGACAAGGCUCAACAAUUAUUUGGGAAGUAGAAAGUUUUGAAGGUGUCUCUGCUCAAGUUGUAGAAGCUUUAACUGGUAUUUUAUUCUCAUGUUGGAUUGGACAUCAGGGACUAUGGAUGUGAUAGCUUGUAUUGUUGGCUUUUAGUUUUUGAUUAGGCUUGCACGACUUUAAAAUAUGUCACAAAGGUUGAAGGAUUGCUUUUUUAUAUACUAACAAUCAACGUCUCUCAUGUUGACAUUUGUCUAGAAUGUGACAAUGACUUUCUUGUCAUUUUGAAUAUGUCUAAGCCAACAAAAAUCAAACGAUGGCAUGAUUAUUAUUGGAGUUCGGAGUCAACAAGGCUAAUUUGUUGACCAAAAAUUUCAAAGGAGACACUUGAUUUGUGAAGAAACCAAAGGGGAUAAAAAUUGUUGGCUGAGCGAUUUACAAGUCGCUUGGCAUCCAACGAUUUGCAAGUCAGGCAGUGUCCAGCGAUUUGCAAGUCGCCUGGUGUCCAAUGAUUUCCAAAUCGUCGUCGGAACCAAGUGAUUUGGAAAUCACCAGACACCAAGCGACUUGCAAAUCGCUGAACAUCAAGCGACUUGCAAAUUCCUCAACCACCAACUUUUUGUCUCCUUUAAUUUCUUUUCAAAUCAGGUGUAAAAAAAUUGGAUGUCCA